rnacentral:rRNA from 1 species
CCUACGGGAGGCAGCAGUGGGGAAUAUUGGGCAAUGGGCGCAAGCCUGACCCAGCAACGCCGCGUGAAGGAAGAAGGCUUUCGGGUUGUAAACUUCUUUUCUCAGGGACGAAGCAAGUGACGGUACAUGAGGAAUAAGCCAAGGCUAACUACGUGCCAGCAGCCGCGGUAAUACGUAGGUGGCAAGCGUUAUCCGGAUUUACUGGGUGUAAAGGGCGUGUAGGCGGGAAAGUAAGUCAGAUGUGAAAACCAGCGGCUCAACCUGUGGCUUGCAUUUGAAACUGUUUUACUUGAGUACUGGAGAGGCAGAUGGAAUUCCUAGUGUAGCGGUGAAAUGCGUAGAUAUUAGGAGGAACACCAGUGGCGAAGGCGGUUUGCUGGACAGCAACUGACGCUGAGGCGCGAAAGCGUGGGGAGCAAACAGGAUUAGAUACCCCAGUAGUC